rnacentral:misc_RNA from 1 species
UGAAAGGAUGCUUUUUGACAUUCAAAAGUUUUACAACGUCGUAAUCGAGGAGCUCCCAGCCAAUGUUGCUGAUCUCCUUUGAGGUGGUUUUGGCUCUGUGAGGGGGAAUUGUUCCUUCCCUACAAGUAGUAGUCUAAUAUAUUUAUUCAGAGUGAACAACUGCAAAUUUUGUCUGGUUUUUGUGUUAUUUUGUUUUUGGAAGUGUCCAAAUAACUUUGGAUUUGGUGGUUGUUUUGAAUUGUUUAUUUGAACUAUUUUUCUAUGAAUGUUAG